AGAGUUUGAUCCUGGCUCAGGAUGAACGUUGGCGGUGUGCCUAAUACAUGCAAGUCGAACGGUGACGAUUUUGUAGCAAUACGAAUGAAAUCAUAGUGGCGAACGGGUGAGUAACGCGUUGGUGAUCUGCCUCGAAGUGUGGAAUAACUUCCCGAAAGGGUAGCUAAUACCGCAUAGUCUCUCAAGGUUUAGAAAAUUGAGAGUAAAGGAUUUAUUCGCUUCGAGAGGAGCCUGCGUCCCAUCAGCUAGUUGGUAGGGUAAUAGCCUACCAAGGCAAUGACGGGUAGGGGACCUGAGAGGGUGGCCCCCCACAAUGGAACUGAAACACGGUCCAUACACCUACGGGUGGCAGCAGUAGGGAAUAUUAGAAAUGGGCGAAAGCCUGAUCUAGCAACACCGCGUGUGCGAUGAAGGCCUUCGGGUUGUAAAGCACUUUUUGGAGGGAAUAGGAAGGAAGGUACCUCCAGAAUAAGUCUCGGCUAACUACGUGCCAGCAGCCGCGGUAACACGUAGGAGGCAAACGUUAUCCGGAUUCACUGGGCGUAAAGCGCGUGUAGGUGGUUCUGUAAGUAGGGCGUGAAAGCUCCCGGCUCAACUGGGAGAGGCCGUACUAAACUGCAGAGCUAGAGGAUGGUAGAGGGAGGUGGAAUUCCAGGUGUAGUGGUGAAAUGCGCAGAUAUCUGGAGGAACACCAGUGGCGAGGGCGGCCUCCUGGACCAUUCCUGACACUCAGACGCGAAAGCUAGGGUAGCAAACGGAAUUAGAGACUCCGGUAGUCCUAGCCCUAAACGAUGCAAAACUAGGGGUCGGCGGUUUAAUCACCGUCGGUGUCCAAGCUAACGCGAUAAGUCUGCCGCCUGAGGACUACGGCCGCAAGGCUAAAACUCAAAGGAAUUGACGGGUCCCCGCACAAGCAGCGGAGCGUGUGGUUUAAUUUGAUGCUCCGCGAAGAACCUUACCUGGGUUUGACAUAACAGUGGUAGAGAAGUGAAAACGGAUCGACCCUUCGGGGAGCUGUUACAGGUGUUGCAUGCCUGUCGUCAGCUCGUGUCGUGGGAUGUUCGGUUAAGUCCGCUAACGAGCGCAACCCGCGCUGUGUGUUACAAGUGUCACACAGUACCGCCGGUAUUAAGUCGGAGGAAGGUGCGGAUGACGUCAAGUCAGCAUGACCUUUAUAUCCAGGGCUACACACACGCUACAAUGGUCAGAACAAUAGGUUGCCAAGCCGCAAGGCGGAGCCAAUCCUCCAAAUCUGGCCUCAGUUCAGAUUGCAGGCUGCAACUCGCCUGCAUGAAGUCGGAGUUGCCAGUAACCGCAGGUCAGCA
rnacentral:rRNA from 1 species